CAUAGUGCUUUAGAACUGAGACAAUAAAUCUGUUUAAGCCAUCCAGUUUGUGGUACUUUGUCAUGGUAGCCCUAAGAAACUCUUGCACCUAGGAGUGAAUUUGAACAGAGAUGAUGGUCCCUCAUGUUCUAAGUCCCUCAGUUAAUGGAGUUAGGCCUUUUGAUUGAUUCAGUGUUUUUUUUAGAGCCAACUGGGUACAAGUCACAAGGGUAAGCACCACAGAGAAAUACAGAGAUAAAGAAGUCUUGGUUUCUGCACUCACUGGGCCUCCAACUUUGGAAAGAAAGAUAUGGGCCCUAGAUUGGAUUUGGAUGGACGGACUGACAACAGAAAGGGCAUGUCUAUGAAUAUCCAAUACUCUGUGUGCCCCUGUCUGAUCAAAGUACAUAAAUAGAAAAUCCUGAAAUAGCAUACUGUAAGAAUUUGGACUUCACUUAACCCAAGUAAAUACAAGGAAGAUUUUUGUCUAAGACCCUCUCC